UAAUUCAUUCCAUUUCACUGUUGUAAAUGAAAGAUCAAAAGGUUCAAGUCUGAACUACAGUACGAGAAUAUUUAUCAGACACUCACUGACUCAGUCAGAGCUACACAGACUUAGACCCUAAAAUCCAGGCCAACGUCAAAUAAUCUUAUAAAUAACAGAAGUUCCUUUAAUAAAAAGAAGAUUAAGCCCCAAGAUCAGCCACAUUGUCAUAGUGAGAAAGUGUGGCGUGCCAUCAAGACAUAUUGGGCUGUUUACUACAGUCAAGCUAAAUGUAUCUUAAGAGAAACCUGAAAAUUUAGUUACAAUGCACAAAAAGUUGUUCUUUGUCACACAAGAUUUCUGGUGAGAUGAAUGGACAACUCAUUGUUCUAGUCAUCUUUACCUAGGGCUGGAUUUAGAAGUGAGGUCAGGCGAGGCUACCUCCCCAGGGGCUUCCACAAGAGAGAAGCCUCCACAAUAUAUGUAAAACAAAAACUGAAUUUUGACGGGUCAGGUUUUUUGGGGUUUUUUUUGCAUUUUAGUGACAAAAUUUUAAAUCUUACAGUUGGCAACACUGUCAUGGUUAAGAGGUGUCCGAUUGUCGGGUGCUUGUAAUAUUUAAAUGCAGCUCAGGAUUUACAAUAAUAAGCCAUUUCAGGGCCUUACCCUCCACAAAAAUAUACAUUUUUGAAACAAAAUAUGCAUAUUAAAUUUUUUUUUUUUCAAAGAAGGAAAAAUUAGUUUCAAUUUACAAGUACUUUGUUACUUGUAAAAUAAUGCAUGCUUUUAGAUAUUUCU